rnacentral:rRNA from 1 species
UACGGAUGGAGCUAGCGUUGUUCGGAAUUACUGGGCGUAAAGCGCGCGUAGGCGGCUUUGUAAGUUAGAGGUGAAAGCCCGGGGCUCAACUCCGGAACUGCCUUUAAGACUGCAUCGCUUGAAUCCGGGAGAGGUGAGUGGAAUUCCGAGUGUAGAGGUGAAAUUCGUAGAUAUUCGGAAGAACACCAGUGGCGAAGGCGGCUCACUGGACCGGCAUUGACGCUGAGGUGCGAAAGCGUGGGGAGCAAACAGG